AUACGUAGGGGGCGAGCGUUGUCCGGAAUGACUGGGCGUAAAGGGCGUGUAGGCGGCGGUGUAAGUCUGGAGUGAAAGUCCCGCAUUCAAUGUGGGAAUUGCUUUGGAUACUGCAGUGCUAGAGUGCGGAAGAGGUAAGUGGAAUUCCCAGUGUAGCGGUGAAAUGCGUAGAGAUUGGGAGGAACACCAGUGGCGAAGGCGACUUACUGGGCCGUAACUGUCGCUGAGUCGCGAAAGCGUGGGGAGCGAACAGGAUUAGAUACCCUGGUAGUCCACACUGUAAACGAUGAAUGCUAGGUGUAAGAAGUAUCGACCCCUUUUGUGCCGGAGUUAACACAAUAAGCAUUCCGCCUGGGGAGUACGGCCGCAAGGUUGAAACUCAAAGGAAUUGACGGGG
rnacentral:rRNA from 1 species